UACAGAGGUCCCAAGCGUUGUUCGGAUUCACUGGGCGUAAAGGGGUGCGUAGGCGGUCGGGGUAAGUCUGAUGUGAAAUCUCACAGCUUAACUGUGAAACUGCAUUGGAUACUAUCCGGCUCGAGGAAUGGAGGGAGACUGGAAUACUUGGUGUAGCAGUGAAAUGCGUAGAUAUCAAGUGGAACACCAGUGGCGAAGGCGAGUCUCUGGACAUUUCCUGACGCUGAGGCACGAAAGCCAGGGAGCAAACGGG
rnacentral:rRNA from 1 species